GCUGACCUCUGACCACUUCAACCAAUAGAAUAUGGUGAAUGUUGCAUUGUGUCAGUUCCAGGCCUUGCGUUUGUGAGUAUAGGAAGUUCCUGCUGCAAUGUCAGAAGUCCAGGCUACUUUUCUUGGAAGAAAGACCAUGUGAAGAAGCAUGUUGUCAGAUGUGAUGAAGAAGCCAUUGCGGAUACUCAGCCCUGUUGAGACUUCACAUGGCUCCAGCCUCAGCAGCUAUAUGACCACAACAGCAUGAGAGACCCCAAAUGAGAACUGCCCAGAUGAAUUCAUUUACCCUGCAAAACUAAGAGGGAUAAUACUAAUGAAGCGUUGCCUCAAGCCACUAAGUUUUACCCUGAUGGGAACCAUCAAGCAGAACCUUCUGGACCUGUACUUCCGAGUUCACUAGGGCUGGGAGAACUCAGCCCAGGGAUCAGCAACGCAUGUACAAGUCUCUCCAGAACAGACAUAACACUGACUGUAUGCUCUACAACUAACUAAUCUUCAGUUUACAGAAGAGGAAACUAAAGGACAGGAAGUUGGCUGAUUCCUACAAUGUGCAGAAGUUACAGCAAAGGUCAAUGCCAGGACUGAGUUCCCUGUUUUUCUCACUCCCAUUCUUUAAGUUGGUACCUGGGCCCCUGGUGCGGGAUGGGUUCUUCAUAAACCUUUAUUAAAUAAGUGUUCAAUAAAUCAAUACUCAGUUUUCUCCACUGUAAA